ensembl:lncRNA
AUGGGGUCACCCCACCUGCAGGUGCAUGUCGGUUCCUGGAGAGCCCCGCCUCCACUCCCGCCUUUCUGGGUCCUGCCCGCAGGUCCUGGGCCUGGCGUGCCAGCUGCUGUGAGCCGACAGCAGGGAGCUGGUCCGGGGCUGGUCGUGACCUCGGGGCUCGGAACAAGCCCCUGGUCCCGGGUGGAGAGACGCUGCCUCUCCCAGGAUCGCUGCGCCCUGGCCAUGGGGCUCAGUGUUCCCAGGGGCCCCUCUGUGCAGCGGAGCCCUGGUCUCCCGGGCCUGCUGUCACGCCGGGCUGUCCCCACGCAGGGUCUUCGGGCCAGGCUAUGUGCCCGCCACUCAACAGGGCCCCGAGCUGUGCCUGCUCUGCACUCAGCGGUGACUGUGGUGUCCGCUUCGCUUCACCUGCCUCCACUGCCAGCGGCAGUGCCGGCAUUCCCACGCCCGAGGACUGAGCCGUGUCCUCUGCCCACAGUGCCUGAGGUCCUCCAGCUGAGCGACGCCCUGCGGACGCACGCCCUGCCCGAGCUGGGGUGCGGCUGGAAGACCACGAAGGUCUGCCCACCGUGGUCAAGCUGGUGGACAGAGACGCCUUACUGAGAGAGAGAGAAGACAAGAAAGGGUGAGUGAGGCCGCAGGGGCCGGGCUGGCCGUGUGCUGGCGCGAUGACCACGGGCGGUGUGCACUGCACACGGAGGAGUCAGUGUUUCCAGUCUUACUAAGCCCGGUGUUUGUAAACGUUGAAAGGGAGGACGAACAAGAUAGGCAACCACUUGGCAAUUAAACAACAACAGAAUCAGCUCCUAACGAAGAGCUGGAGCGUGAGGGAAGGUCCGUUGCUUCUGGUGACCUGCAGACGUGUGGUCCCACCUGCCGGUCACCUGAAGUGUCACCCCGGCCCGGGAGUGAGCGUGUCUCACCUCCAUCCUCCCCGCCCCCGGGUGAGCGUGUCUCACCUCCAUCCUCCCUGUCCCCUGGGGUGAGCGUGUCCCUCCAUCCUCCCCUGGCCCACGGGUGAGCGUGUCCCUCCAUCCUCCCUUGUCCCCGGGAUGAGCGUGUCCCUCCAUCCUCCCCAUCCACGAGGGUGAGCGUGUCUCACCUCCAUCCUCCCUGUCCCCUGGGGUGAACUCACCUCCAUCCUCCCAUCCCCUGGGGUGAACUCACCUCCAUUCUCCCCGCCCCUGGGGUGAGCGUGAUCUCACCUCCAUCCUCCCGUCCCGGGGUGAGCGUGUCUCACUCUCCAUCCUCCCGUCCCGGGGUGAGCAUGUCUCACCUCCAUCCUCCCGUCCCGGGGUGAGCGUGUCUCACUCUCCAUCCUCCCUGUCCCCAGGGGUGAACAUGUAUCACCUCCAUUCUCCCCAUCCCCGGGUGAGCGUGUCUCACUCUCCAUCCUCCCUGUCCACGGUGGUGUGCUUGUCUCACUCUCCAUCCUCCCUGUCCCCGGGUGAGCGUGUCUCACCUCCAUCCUCCCGUCCCGGGGUGAGCAUGUCUCACCUCCAUCCUCCCUGUCCCCAGGGGUGAGCAUGUCUCACCUCCAUCCUCCCUGUCCCCAGGGGUGAGCAUGUCUCACCUCCAUCCUCCCGUCCCGGGGUGAGCGUGUCUCACUCUCCAUCCUCCCUGUCCCCGGGUGAGCGUGUCUCACUCUCCAUCCUCCCUGUCCCCAGGGGUGAGCAUGUCUCACCUCCAUCCUCCCUGUCCCCGGGUGAGCGUGUCUCACUCUCCAUCCUCCCUGUCC